CCCUUAGAUGUUCUGGGCCGCACGCGCGCUACACUGAUUCAUUCAUCAAGUCUAUAACCUUGGUAGAAAUGCUUGGGUAAUCUUUGAAACUGAAUCGUGCUGGGGAUUGGAGCUUGUAAUUAUUCUCCAUGAACGAGGAAUUCCUAGUAAGCGCAAGUCAGCAGCUUGCGUUGAUUACGUCCCUGCCCUUUGUACACACCGCCCGUCGCUACUACCGAUUGAAUGGUUUAGUGAGAUCUUCGGAUUGGCGCCACUGCGGCUCAGCAAUGGGCUCGGUGGAUGCCGAAAAGUUGAUCAAACUUGAUCAUUUAGAGGAAGUAAAAGUCGUAACA
rnacentral:rRNA from 1 species